rnacentral:rRNA from 1 species
GACGAACGCUGGCGGCGUGCUUAACACAUGCAAGUCGAACGGUGAAGCGCCUUCCUUUUUGGUGGGUGUGGAUGAGUGGCGAACGGGUGAGUAACACGUGAGUAACCUGCCCCCUUCUUCUGGAUAACCGCAUGAAAGUGUGGCUAAUACGGGAUAUUCUGGGUCUGUCGCAUGAUGGGUCUGGGAAAGAUAUUGUUUCGGUGGGGGAUGGGCUCGCGGCCUAUCAGCUUGUUGGUGGGGUGAUGGCCUACCAAGGCGGUGACGGGUAGCCGGCCUGAGAGGGUGGACGGUCACACUGGGACUGAGACACGGCCCAGACUCGUACGGGAGGCAGCAGUGGGGAAUAUGGCACAAUGGGCGCAAGCCUGAUGCAGCGACGCCGCGUGAGGGAUGGAGGCCUUCGGGUUGUGAACCUCUUUCGCCAGUGAAGCAGGCCUGCCUCGUUUGUGGGUGGGUUGACGGUAGCUGGAUAAGAAGCGCCGGCUAACUACGUG